rnacentral:rRNA from 1 species
CUGGUGCCAGCAGCCGCGGUAAUUCCAGCUCCAAUAGCGUAUAUUAAAGUUGUUGCAGUUAAAAAGCUCGUAGUUGAAUUUCGGAGUUUGUCGGUUGGUCGGGCUUCACUGUCCGCACUGGCCUGAUGGAUUCCUUCCUUUCUGAAUAACCGGCCAUGCUAUUAAUUUAGUGCGUUGGGGAAGCAGAGCUAUUACCUUGAAAAAAUUAGAGG